rnacentral:tRNA from 1 species
CGCGGGGUAGAGCAGCCCGGUAGCUCGUCAGGCUCAUAACCUGAAGGUCAGUGGUUCAAAUCCACUCCCCGCAACCA